UACGAAGGGGGCUAGCGUUGCUCGGAAUCACUGGGCGUAAAGCGCACGUAGGCGGCUUUCUAAGUCAGGGGUGAAAUCCUGGAGCUCAACUCCAGAACUGCCUUUGAUACUGGAGAGCUCGAGUCCGGAAGAGGUGAGUGGAACUCCGAGUGUAGAGGUGAAAUUCGUAGAUAUUCGGAAGAACACCAGUGGCGAAGGCGGCCCGCUGGGCAGUGGCUGACGCUGAAGCGCGACAGCGUGGGGAGCAAACAGG
rnacentral:rRNA from 1 species